AUCCAGGUGACGAGUCCCAAGUAGGAUGAAAUGUGCAUCCUGGAU
rfam:Trichobilharzia regenti genome assembly, scaffold: TRE_scaffold0008774